AAAUUGUGCUUAAUUUUAAUUGGAAAAUGUAUUGCCCGUUAGAAGAUCCGGAACCCCAACCUUGCCCUAGAAGGAAUAAGAACAAUAGUUGGUGUUUAAAGGUCUUUGGAUUUGCUUUAGGUUUUUGUGCAGCCUCAACAAUUUUUUUACUAGUUUAUUAUUCGAUUUUGUUAAAAUCUGAAAAGGAACAUGAUGUUCUAGUAAAAUUUGAGAAGAUGCUUGAGAAGAAAAAUCAAACUAAUUUUAAUUUAUAAUUUCGAAAAUUUAUGAAAAUGUAUCCAAAUACUAAUUCAGUUCUGGGGGCUCCACAUGGCAGUGGAUUUGUGUUGGACUAUUCAGUUUUAUAUGAAGGAAUAAUUGGUUGCUGUGUUACUGGAUGCGGUAUAUUUAUCUUGGUUGGAUUGGCGUUUGCUCUAAUAUAUCUCAUUCAGCCAGUAUUUAAUGCUUUUCGACCUGCAUUCAAUCAAACAAAUGAUAAAAUUCUUUUCGAUGAUAGUUGAUAUUAUU